rnacentral:rRNA from 1 species
GCGGAGGGAUCAUUACAGAGUUGCAAAACUCCCAAACCAUUGUGAACGUUACCAUUAUCGUUGCUUCGGCGGGCGGCGCCCAGCGCUCCCAGGCCCCCUCGCGGGGCGCCCGCCGGAGGUUACCUAACUCUUGACAACUGUAUGGCCUCUCUGAGUCUCUAUACUUAAUAAGUUAAAACUUUCAACAACGGAUCUCUUGGUUCUGGCAUCGAUGAAGAACGCAGCGAAAUGCGAUAAGUAAUGUGAAUUGCAGAAUUCAGUGAAUCAUCGAAUCUUUGAACGCACAUUGCGCCCGCCAGUAUUCUGGCGGGCAUGCCUGUUCGAGCGUCAUUUCAACCAUCAAGCCCCAGGCUUGUGUUGGGGACCUGCGGCUGCCGCAGGCCCUGAAAACCAGUGGCGGGCUCGCUAGUCACACCGACCCAAGGUUGACCUCGGAUCAGGUAGGAAGACCCGCUGAACUUAAGCAUAUCAAUAAGCGGAGGA